rnacentral:rRNA from 1 species
GUAACAACUCACCUGCCGAAUGAAUUAGGCCCGAAAAUUGAUGGCGCUCCAGCGUGCGACGGAUACUCGACCAUUGCAGCGACAGUUUGGCUGGAAUGAGUAGGAGGGCGUGGGCGUCUUGCUGAAGCUUUGGGCGUGAGCCUGAGUCGAAAGGCGUCUAGCGCAGAUCUUGGUGGUAGUAGCAAUUAUUCAAAUGAGAACUUUGAAGGCCGACGUGGAGAAGGUUUCCAUGAGAACAGCAAUUGGUCAUGGGUGACUCGGUCCUAAGAUAUUGGAUAAUACCCUGAAAUUGAGCUUUGGCUCGGUAUCGAAAGGGAAUGGGGUUAAUAUUCCUCAAGCUGGAAAUGGAUGUCACGGUAACGUUUGUGAGCUCGACGACGCCAGCGCGUGCCUCUGGAAGAGUUAUCUUUUCUUUCCUAACAGAGAAGCGACCCUGAAAUCGGAUUACCCGGAGCUGAGGGUUGCAAAUCUGGAAUAGUGUCUUCAUAUCUUAUAAGUACAUUAGAAGCGCUCGCGAUGGCCCUUGAACAAGUCGAGUGAGGUAAUUUAUUCCAUUCCAGGCCGUACCAAUAACCGCAUCAGGUCUCCAAGGUUA